rnacentral:tRNA from 1 species
GCCCAGGUGGCGGAAUUGGUAGACGCGCCUGACUCAAAAUCAGGUUUCUUCGGAAGUGGGGGUUCGAUUCCCCCCCUGGGUACCA